rnacentral:lncRNA from 10 species
CAUAAAAUAUAAAUGAAUUUUAUUUAUGAAUGUAUAGAUGUACAGCAAAUAGGAAAGAUAAUACAUUAAAAGAACAUAUACUAUAACCAGGUAGAGUUUUAUCUCAGGAAUUUAAGGAUGUUUUAAUAUUACAAAAACCCUUAUUAUAAUCAUAUUAGGCAAUUUAAGUGAUAAAAAUUUGAUUGUAUCAAAAGACACCAAUUCCUUUUAUCAAGCUUUUAGCUUCCAACAAACAAGAAUAGAAGAUGUUAUUUCUGUUAUCCUAACAAAGAACAUUUGUUUAAAACCAACAAUUAACUUCAUAUGUAAUGAAAAAAUAUCAAAAAAACUUAUUACAAUUUUAUGAAACACAAAAACAAAAUAGAAAUACCUAUGAUUUUAUAUUUAGAAAGAGCAAACAGGCCAUCUAAAACUGUUAGAACAAAGAAAAUCACCAAAAGAUACAUAUUUUAAAAGUUAAUAGCUUUCUAAUAAUAGAGAUUCCCAUGCUGACAGCAACAUAGAUAUAAAACAGCCAAGAAAGAAUUAAUUAAGGUAUAUAUAAAACCUAGACAAAAAGAAGAACCAAGUAUAAUGAAAAAAAUCAAGAAACAUGACAAUAAUGGAGACUAAAUCCCUCGAUGGAAAGAAUUAUAAUCAUAAAUGUAAGCCUUAAAGAGUUAACUUUAGAUGUAGACAAGUCAAACUGAAGCACUAAAAACAUGUUGACCUUAUAUAACACAUUCCUUAGGGGGAAAAAAAGAUUUUUUAAUAUUGGAAAAAAUAUGGUUAGGCAUAGUGGCUCAUGCCUGUAAUCCCAGCACAUUCAGAGGCCAAGGCGGGAGGACUGCUUGAGCUUAGGAGUUCAAGACCAGCCUGGGCAACAUAGUGAGACCUUGUCUCUACUAAAAACCUAAAAAGAUUAGCUGAGUAUGGUGGCAUGCACCUAUAGUCCCGGCUACUAGGGAAGCUGAGGCAAGAGGAUGGCUUGAGCCUGAGAAAUCAAGGCUGCAGGGAGCUGUAAUUGUGCCCUGCACUCCAGCCUGGGCAACAGAGUGAGACCCUGUCUCAAAAAAACGUCGGAGAAGGAGGAAAAACAAUGAAGACCAAUAUGCUACUGAUUCACAUGGAUUCAAAUACAAAGUAUAAUCCAUUAUAUGGCAAAAAAUAUGUCUUCACUACCAAGUGUUACAAUUACCAAGAAUAAAUAAUGUUUUGCUCAGAGCUAGUGAGUAAAAAAACACAGCAUUGCACACAGCAUUGCAACAUAAAGUAAGUGCUAUGUUAGGCCUGUAAGAAUGCUACAAGAGUCACCUCUUUUGGAGUCAAGAAAGGCCAACCUGGCGUUUUGAAGAAUCCAAUUUUGCUAGGUUGUGAGGUAGGAAGAAGGAAUGGCACUUAUAAAAGAGGGAACAUCAGGCUGAGUGCAGUGGCUCACGCCUAUAAUACUAACACUUUGGGAGGGCGAGGUGGGUGGAUCACUUGAGGUGAGGAGUUCAAGACCAGCCUGGCCAACAUGGUGAAACCCCAUCUCUACUAAAAAUACAAAAAUUAGCCAGGCAUGGUGGUACAUGCCUAUAAUCCCAGCUACUCGGGAGGCUGAGGCAGGAGAAUCACUUGAACCUGGGAGACGGAGGUUGCAGUGAGCUGAGAUCAUGCCACUGUACUCCAGCCUGGGCGACAGAGACUCCAUCUCAAAGGAAAAAAGAAAAAAAAAAAAAAAAAAAACAGGGAAUAUCAUUUACAGAGAAUCACAAGACAAAAUAGCACAUUCCAGAAAUUCCAAGUAGGUCAAGUACAUACAAUGUUGGUCUGCAUUUUAAAAACUCGACUAAAGUCAAUAUUCAAUCAGAACAUUUCUCAUAACAAUCUGAAUUUCUGGCUUCUUUUUAAAAAACUGGGCACUAUGACAAAGUGGGCCCACAUUCCCACGUGGAUACAAGAGGCAGGCGUCCCUUUUAGAUGGGACAGUUUGCCACAGCACUUCUCCCUUCUCCCACUGCUCUUGCAUCCAGCAGCCAGAUGGAAGGCAGGAGAAGUGAAGAGUGGUAAGGAGACCAGUGAAAUCCACAAACGCUUAUUCUAUUAAAGAUUAAAACAGGGCUACCAUCACUGCAGUGGGAACAGGGCACCUUUUACCAAAAACUCCCAUAACAGAUGACUUGAAAACCACUGAGUUUAUGCAUCUGUAGGAUAUAUGCAGGAAGAUGAUGAGGGUUUGAAACAAGGAGAAAAAAAAGUAUAGGACAAUUUACAGCUUUUUGUCUAUGUCAUUAGGUAGAUAGUGGUGACAUUCAAAAAUAAGGAAAUAAAAGCAGGAACAAGACUAAAGGAAAAUUCAUAAUUCAAUUUAGAAUACAUUGAAUUUGUAGAGUCUACAGACAUGCGACUUGACAUCAAAAACCCCGAUAAAUUACCAAAGAAAACUCUUUUCCAACUAUAAUGCGAUAACUUUCUAACAGCUUAAUCAUGAGUGAAAAUCAGAGAAAGGCAUGGUUAUAUAAAAUAUUUUACAGAAUGAAUACCAACAAAACUAAGAUUAAAGUAGACUAUUAUAGAAUUGAAUAAAAUACUGCAACAAAGAUGACAGAGGACCAAUAACAUCACAUAUAAAAGCAUAAUGAUAAGAUAUAAAAACAGAACAUAAACAAGUAAAGGUCCAGCAAGUCUCUCAAUGUAAAGGAAAUGCAUUUAUACCCUACACUGUUUCCAUUAAAGAUUUAAGAUAGCUUACUACAAAAAUAUACAUAGUAAAAUGGUAAGUGUAAAUAAUAGUAAUAAUUAAAUGUAAAAAUUUUUUUAAUUAUCACCAGGAGAAAUCUGGACUAGAAAAAAAGAAACAAAAUAUGCAGAGCAUAAGGGCUUUCAGAAAUAUCGUUGACAAUGAAAGUAAAAAGCUCAACACAAGUGGCAUGACUCUUAUUAUCCAUUAGGAGAAAACACAGCCAUUUCUCACUUUAAAAAGGACAUUUUUGCUUUUUCCCUCAAUUGAAAAGAUAGCAUUUCAUGAUAAAAAUUUCUCUACAUUAAUUUAGCUUUAUGAAAACUUAUUACAUUGUCUCUGUUUCUCAAAUGUUAUGUUACUGCAGGACAGUUGAAUUUAAAAACAACAACAACACUUUACACAGUGACAUUUGAGGAUGACUACAAUAAACAGAACAAAAAAAUUAAUUGCAUAAAGCUGCUUCUUGUGGUACCCCUUGAUGAAAAUAAACCACAAAAUACUGAAAUGUAACUCAAUGAACACAGCUGGGUAGGUGGAGAGCAGGGAGGAAGGGAGAAGGGAGAAAGGGGAAAGGGAACAUGAAGUGGGUGAGGUAUACAGACUUCUGAUGGUCCAUCCUGAGCCACAGGAAGAAUGGAUACAAUUUAAAGGAGUGGAUAUACUGCUCAUCCUUCAAACUAUUGUGACUGGGCUUUGGUAAAAGCUCAGCAAGAAAUGAAGAGUAGACAGAGUCUCACACCUGUAAUCCCAGCAGUUUGGGAGGCCGAGGCAGGCAGAUCACCUGAGGUCAGGAGUUUGAGACCAGCCUGGCCAACAUGGUGAAACCCCGUCUCUACUAAAAAUACAUAAUUAACUGGGCGUGGUGGCUCAUGCCUGUAACCUCAGCUACUUGGGAGGCUGAGGCAGGAGAACCACUUGAACCCAGGAGGCGGAGGUUAUGGUGAGAUGAGAUCGCGCCAUUGCACUCCGGCCUGGGCAACAAGAGUGAAACUCUGUCUCCAAAAAAAAAAAAAAGAGUAGACAGAGUGAGGUAGAAGUCUCUGGAGAGAACCCAAAGGUUAUAUACUCUGUACUACUGGCUGAGGAUGGACCUACAAAAAUUGAAUAUCAUCCAAGCACAGUAUUGCUGAGGUCCUUUCAUGAAAAUUUGAGGCCUCGUUAAAGGCUGUCCCACAUCAGCAUAGAUGAGGGCCCCAUUAAUAAAAGGCCAAAUAUAAAAUGAAAAAAUAAGAACAAUCAGAAAGCAGACACCAGAAAACUAUUCACUCAUACAUAUAUUUUUAAAAAUGCAAAUGACAGUAUCCUUUAGCAUCUAUAAGCUAAGCAAAAG